rnacentral:rRNA from 1 species
UACGUAGGGUGCGAGCGUUGUCCGGAAUUAUUGGGCGUAAAGGGCUCGUAGGCGGUUUGUCGCGUCGGGAGUGAAAUCCACUGGCUUAACUGGUGGCUUGCUUUCGAUACGGGCAGACUGGAGGUAUGCAGGGGAGAACGGAAUUCCUGGUGUAGCGGUGAAAUGCGCAGAUAUCAGGAGGAACACCGGUGGCGAAGGCGAUCACCUGGGGUUGUUCUGACGCUGAGGAGCGAAAGCUAGGGGAGCAAACGGG